UUAGUUUUAAAAGGAAGUCUAAGAUGUCAGGGAGGGUCAUGGUCUGGGGUGUCAAGUGUCUGUGGAAGCACCAUAUGGAGAAACGUUUCCACUUUUGCAGGUAAGUCUUACGAGUGGAGUCUCUUCUACUGUGCAGGAGGAUGUACUGGACCUGCUUUGAACAGGCUAACUCGUGGCUUUGAAAUCAUGAAGGAACCGUGCCGCCAGAUGAAGUUUCUGGAGCUGCAGAUGGAGAAGCCAACCAUUGUCCUGGGAGAGCAGAUCUGGUCUGUUGAGGAGAGGCCUUAGAGGAUGGAUGGACAUGCACAGCAGGCGCCGCAGAUCUUUUAUAGGCACCCUGCCUCGGGUCCGUGUCUGCUGCAGGGGUGAUGGGCAGGCUUGGUGGAACACGCUGCCGGUACCAGGUCUAUCUUCAGUGCCGAUGGGACCGGUGCCGAGGAAAGCUUCCUGCUGUAGGAAGUCAGGUCCCUGCUUUUGCACUCUACGUGAGCUGCGGCUGAGAUGCUGGGGGGUCGGAGUGACCAGGGAAGAGGUUCAGCACUGUCCCGAGUCCCAUCUUCAGCCAAGGACAGUUAAGAAGGAACUGAGAGGGGUGUGAGACACACAUGCUCAGGCAGACCCUAAUGAUGCC